rnacentral:lncRNA from 1 species
AGAAAUAAAAAAAAAGAGGUGCGCCCUCUCCACCUUGCCUCUGUUCUUUCGAUUUUUCCUUGUUACCAGCAACUCUUGUUACGUGUUUGGCACUAUCUUUCAACUUUGCAUUAUUGUUUGAUUGUGCUAAUCCUUCAUUUGAGUGCAGCCUUCCCAGAACUCCACAUAGUUCUACGACGAGCAUAUUUUGUUUCUCCAGGCAAUCGCUCCUCCAAUCUUUCGUGAGUUCCACCGGUUGGUUGCAGUUCGCCCCUGUGUGCGUGGUAAGAACG